rnacentral:rRNA from 1 species
UACAGAGGGGGCAAGCGUUGUUCGGAAUUACUGGGCGUAAAGGGCGCGUAGGCGGCCUGCUAAGUCGAACGUGAAAUCCCUGGGCUCAACCCAGGAACUGCGUCCGAUACUGGCAGGCUUGAAUCCGGGAGAGGGAUGCGGAAUUCCAGGUGUAGCGGUGAAAUGCGUAGAUAUCUGGAGGAACACCGGUGGCGAAGGCGGCAUCCUGGACCGGUAUUGACGCUGAGGCGCGAAAGCCAGGGGAGCAAACGGG